CCUACGGGUGGCAGCAGUGAGGAAUAUUGGUCAAUGGCCGUAAGGCUGAACCAGCCAAGUCGCGUGAAGGAAGAAGGAUCUAUGGUUUGUAACCUUCUUUUAUAGGGAAGUAAAGGUAUCCACGUGUGGAUAUUUGCAUGUCCCCUAUGGAUGAGCAUCGGAUAACUACGUGUCAGCAGCCGCGGUCAUAAGAAGGAUGCAAGCGUUAUCCGGAUUUAAUGGGUUUAAAGGGGGCGGCGGUUGUUUUGUAAGUCAGCGGUGAAAGUUUGUGGCUCAACCAUAAAAUUGCCGUUGAAACUGGAAGACUUGCGUGUGUUUGAGGUAGGCGGAAUGCGUGGUGUAGCGGUGAAAUGCAGAGUUAUCACGCAGAACUCCGAUUGCGAAGGCAGCGUACUAAGCCAUAACUGACACUGAAGCACGAAAGCGUGGGGAUCAAACAGGAUUAGAUACCCGAGUAGUC
rnacentral:rRNA from 1 species